UCCUCGAGAGAUUCUCUAUCGAUACAAAGUGGUCAAGAACAAGAAGUAUUUAUAGCCAUUUUCUCUGGGAAUACAGAUAGGCUAUUUGAGGGGUUCUUACACAUACUGACGUCUCAUGUAAAUAUCUCCCUUCCAUUUGAAAUCGAUAUUCGUCAAAGUGCA
rnacentral:ribozyme from 1 species